CCCCCCCCAUCUCGGAACUCCCCUCCCCACACCACCACAUAGAACAGGGGGGGAGGGGGGGGGUUUCUUCAGGGGGUCUCAGCCAUGGCUUUCUUUCCCGGUGGGAGACCCCCGGGGGGUCGCGCUGCCGCCGUGCUGCGAUGUUACGACCUGUUACGGAACGAGAUCCAGGCUCUGCUGGCCGAGAACGAGGAGCUGCUCCGGACCGUGGCCGCCAUCCGGCACCACCGGCACUACCCGCCGCUCGCAUCCACCCCACGCGAGCUGCCCAGCCCGGCUGCCGUGGGCAGCGUGACGUGGGACGGGGAAAGGUCCCCUGCAGGACAAUGGGUGGCGCUGCGACCCCACAACAACGACAUCGCGGCCCUACACAACCAGUCCGCCCCCCCGGCUCUCCCUGCCCCGGCCCCUCCUGCCGCCCACCGUGGCCACGCUCCGUUUCCCCCCAAUUGGUUCCACGGCCCUGAGACCCCCCCGGUGUCACCCAUCGCCCGCAUGGCCGAACUGGUACCGCCCGAAGAGCAGCUGCAGCCGCUGGAUCUGAGGCUGCCCGAAGUCCGGCGCCGGGAUCCGAACUGGCACCCAAGCCUCGAUCGGAGCCGGAACUCCAACGUAGAUCCAAGCCGGAGCUCCAACGCAGAUCCGAGCCGGAGCUCCAACACAGAUCCGAGACGGAGCUCCAACACAGAUCCGAGCCGGAGCUCCACUGUGGAUCCGAGUGGGAGCUCCAGCAGCAAUCAGGGUCGGAGCUCUACCACGGAUCCAAGCCGGAGUUCUAACACGGUUCCGAACAGGAGCUCCACUGUAGAUCCCAGCUGGAUUUCCAGUGGAUACCCGAGCUGGAGCUCCAGCACCGAUCCGAACCAGAGCUCCAGCAUAGAUCCGAGUCGGAGCACCACCAUAGAUACAAGCCAGAGCUCCAGUGGAUAUCCAAGCUGGAGCUCCAGCACCGAUCCAAAUCAAAGCUCCAGCAUAGAUCCGAGCCGGAGCACCACCAUAGAUACAAGCCAGAGCUCCAGUGGAUACCCAAGCUGGAGCUCCAGCACCGAUCCAAACCGAAGCUCCUCCAUAGAUCCAAGCCGGAGCACCACCAUAGAUACAAGCCAGAGCUCUAGUGGAUAUCCCAGCUGGAGCUCCAGCACUGAUCCGAACCAAAGCUCCUCAAUAGAUCCGAGCCGGAGCACCACCAUAGAUACAAGCCAGAGUUCCAGCGGAUAUCCCAGCUGGACCUCCAGCACUGAUCCGAACCAGAGCUCCAGCAUAGAUCCGAGCCGGAGCACCACCAUAGAUACAAGCCAGAGCUCCAGUGGAUACCCGAGCUGGAGCUCCAGCACUGAUCCGAACCGAAGCUCCACAAUAGAUUCGAGCCGGAGCACCACCAUAGAUACAAGCCAGAGUUCCAGCGGAUAUCCCAGCUGGAGCUCCAGCACUGAUCCGAACCGGAGCUCCUCCAGAGAUCCAAGCCAGAGCUCUACCACCGAUCCGAACCGGAGCUCCACCAUAGAUUCAAGCCUGAGCUCGACCCUCGAUUCGAGCCGGGACCGAGAAACCAGCUCGGACGCAUCAAUGGCUGCCGGGCAGCGUGGUAUGGGGGGUCAGGGCUGUCCUUGUGGGUUCGGCCCGGUCCCUGUGGGUUCAGGGUCUUGGUGUCCACAUGGGGACAGAGGGAUGGGGGUGAUGGAGGGACGAGGGAUGGGGUCAGGGGGAUGG
rnacentral:lncRNA from 1 species